rnacentral:misc_RNA from 1 species
AGUCCCUGAACGCGCACGCCUGCAUCAACCAAACCGCCAUUUCUUUUUAUAAUAAUAAUAAUAAUAGAGGAUGGAUGGAUCAUGGACGGAGGUUUCAGUUUGAGGCCCAGUUUUCAGUUUGGUUGGUGUCUGUUGUUGUUUUCUGGAAAAGCAGACUUUAAAAAUAGCCUUUUUUUUUGGUUAGAUCUUUGGUUUUUAGAAAGCAAAAAACCAGUCCCCAAAAGUCCAAUCCAACAAAACCUUAGUCUUCAAUGGGUGCUUCCAUUCUACAAAAUGAGAAAGCUUUUGCCUUUAAUUUGCAGGAGCACUACUCGCCACAGUUUCAGAGUUUCUUACUAUUUCUUGGAAUUAAUAACAGACGGCUCCAGAGUUUCAGUAAAGUGCCGACAUUUGCUUAAGAAGCUGACCUGCUUUGUGCAUCCGGGCGUCU